rnacentral:misc_RNA from 1 species
AAGUCGUAACAAGGUUUCCGUAGGUGAACCUGCGGAAGGAUCAUUACACAUCAUCCAGUGUGGUCGCGGCCUCCGGGUUCUUCCCGGGCGGUAGGAGGUAACACUCUUCACGCGCCACGCGUUUGAAUCCUUUUUUUACGAGCACCUUUCGUUCUCCUUCGGUGGGGCAACCUGCCGCUGGAAUCAUACAAAACCUUUUUUGCAUCUAGCAUUACCUGUUCCGAUAACAAACAAUCGUUACAACUUUCAACAAUGGAUCUCUUGGCUCUG